GAUGAACGCUGGCGGCGUGCCUAACACAUGCAAGUCGAACGAAGUGGCGAACGGGUGAGUAACGCGUAAUCAUCCUGCCCUUCAGAGGGGGACAACAGUUGGAAACGACUGCUAAUACCGCAUACUGAAGGUGGGGAUUGCGUUGGGUUCGCUCGUUGGCGGGGUAACGGCCCACCAAGGCGAUGAUCAGUAGCCGGUCUGGGGGGGUGGACGGCCACAAUGGGACUGGGGCAAGGCCCAGACUCCUACGGGAGGGAGCAGGGGGGAAUCUUCGGAAAUGGACGAAAGUCUGGCGGAGCAAAGCCGCGUGAGUGGUGACAGGCUUCGGGUUGUAAAGCUCUGUUAAUCGGGACGCGGUACCGAAAUAGAAAGCCACGGCUAACUACGUGCCAGCAGCCGCGGUAAUUC
rnacentral:rRNA from 1 species